rnacentral:lncRNA from 1 species
AGCCAAGUGUUCCCUCAUCUAUUGGCCUAACUUGAUAAAUGUGCGUUGAAUUUAGAUGCAAUUUUCAAAUCAUUAAAUGUGUUUCUCUAGCAGCUGGAGAGUUUAUGAGGGAUGGUGCCUUUGCUUGCUCUGAAGACAUGGUCGGUGAAAUGAAAACUUGUUCUGAAGCCCGGCCAAGUGUUGAAAACCAGUCUUCUACUUUAUCUGAUUCUGAAAUGGGCUUACCAGCUCGUGUCACUUCUAUUGUUUGUGCUGCUCAUAAUGGAUUUCAGGAUUCUGCAAAUUAUGGAGACUGUUAUUUCCAACCAUUCUGCACCUACUACUGGCUACAAGGUAAAGAGAAUUUGGGAGGAAUCUAUAUACUUAACUUUCACAUUUGAAUCACAUUAAUGGAUCUUAAAACUGAGUUCACUAAAGUAGCUCUAUUUAUCUUGAUUUGUAGUUCUCGUAGUGAAUAGAUCUAUCCUUUAUUAUUUUUCGUAGGAUUUGAACAGCAUGUAUCUAAAUAUGUGACUGAUGACAUUUUAAAUGAGCUUAAUGAGUGUCCAAAUUAUUUGAAUUAAGUCAUUAUUUAAUUAGUUCCGCAUAUUGUACCAAUCAGCAGUUAUGAGCACUUUAGCUUUGUGUUAGGACUUAAACAUGAUCAGAGAGUUUUAUGGGUUAAGAAUUAUGAUUUUGUUAUUAUAUUCACUAAUUUCUAACAUUGUCGUCCUCUUAAGAGUCACGUUUAUGAUAAUUUUUAUUCUAUUGAACCUAAUGAUAAUUUUUUCUCUAAUCAUUUGGGUUGAACUUUUCUCAGAUAUAUAAGUCGUAACAUUUGAUACCAAGUCAAAAAGAAUAUUGCAUUUUCCAUUAACAUUUUUUUCUUCUAAAUAAAUUAAUCAAACAAACAGGUAGUUGAUUAAGGGUGAUUCAUAUAUAAAGACUUGAACUUGAGUUUUGCAUACAGAGAAAAUUGCCACGGGAAUAGCUUACCCUACUAUGUUGUUGAAUGUCCCUACCAGCAGAAUUGUGUCAUAUAAAAAACACUAAUUACCAGACUAGAAAACAAAAAAAUAUAUAUAAUAUUUAAGUUUAUAAAAUAAUUUAAUUCUUUAUAUGGAAUAAAAAUUUUGUUCAUUAACAGCUCUAUAAAUGAGAACUUAUUACUCUAUCUGAAGUUUCAUAUUCUGCCACAAGACCCAUACUAUCAUGCCUUCUCUAUUUGGAUGAUGUAGGCAUCCACUUCUCCCUGUACUGUAGAAAAAGGCUAAAAAAAUGAGAAAUAAAAUGUUUGGUUAUAUAGAAAAUGAAGAGAAAUAAUUGAUUUUUUCUUCCUCCACUCUCGACAAUGGUCUAUUGUUCCAAAUUGUGUUUUAAACCAUAUACUAAAUCAAUGAAAAUAUAUAUGUUAAUUAAAAAAAUUAAAUAUUUAUUUUUUACUUUAAUAUGAUUGGAUAAUAUAAUUUAUGAUACAGUUUGGACAAUAUAUCUUAUUCUAUUUUCCCUCCCAUUUUCUCUUUUAUGACAUGGGAGGAGAGAAAUUUUG